AUGGGUGGUGCCUCCGCUUCCUUCUUCUACCUCUUGCUGUCCCUCCUCUGGGUUCAGGAUGCGGCCGCGACUGGUCUUGGCUCCACAAGAAGUGAUUUCCCACAGGAGUUCGUCUUUGGAGCUGGAACCUCGGCAUACCAGUAUGAGGGCGCUGUUGUUGAGGAUGGCAGGAGCCCGAGCAGUUGGGACACUUUCACCCACGCAGGUAAAAUGCCAGACAAAAGCACGGGAGAUGUUGCUGCAGAUGGGUACCACAAAUACAUGGAGGAUGUCAAGCGCAUGUAUGAGACAGACCUAGAGGCCUAUAGGUUCUCCAUCUCCUGGUCAAGGCUCAUUCCAAAUGGGCGUGGAGCUGUCAAUCCCAAAGGGCUAAAGUACUACAAUAACCUCAUUGAUGAGCUAGUGAAUCAUGGAAUUCAAGUCCACAUCACACUUCACCAUCUAGAUCUCCCCCAGAUUCUUGAAGACGAGUAUGGUGGAUGGUUAAGUCCCAGAAUCAUCGAAGAUUUCACAGCAUAUGCAGAUGUUUGCUUCAGGGAGUUUGGAGAUAGGGUUGCAUCUUGA
rnacentral:rRNA from 1 species